rnacentral:rRNA from 1 species
CAGUCGAACGAACCUUCGGGUUAGUGGCGGACGGGUGAGUAACACGUGGGAACGUACCUUUUGGUUCGGAAUAACGCAGAGAAAUUUGCGCUAAUACCGAAUGUGCCCUUCGGGGGAAAGAUUUAUCGCCAUUAGAGCGGCCCGCGUUAGAUUAGCUAGUUGGAGAGGUAAAGGCUCACCAAGGCUACGAUCUAUAGCUGGUCUGAGAGGAUGAUCAGCCACAUUGAGACUGAGACACGGCCCAAACUCCUACGGGAGGCAGCAGUGGGGAAUCUUGCGCAAUGGGCGAAAGCCUGACGCAGCCAUGCCGCGUGAAUGAUGAAGGUCUUAGGAUUGUAAAAUUCUUUCAGUAGGGACGAUAAUGACGGUACCUACAGAAGAAGCCCCGGCUAACUUCGUGCCAGCAGCCGCG